ACUACGCUGGCGGCGUGCCUAACACAUGCAAAUCGAACGACUCUUGAUUAUAGCAAUAUUAUUAAAGAGGAGUGGCGAACGGGUGAGUAACACGUAGAUAAUCUGCCUUUCAGACGGGGACAACUCAGGGAAACUUGUGCUAAUACCCGAUGAGACCACAAGAAGGGAUUUUUGUGGCCAAAGGCGGGCAGCAAUGCUCGUGCUGAAAGAUGAGUCUGCGUCCUAUCAGCUAGUUGGUGGGGUAAAUGCCUACCAAGGCUAAGACGGGUAGCCGGCCUGAGAGGGUGAACGGCCACACUGGGACUGAGACACGGCCCAGACUCCUACGGGAGGCAGCAGUGAGGAAUUUUCCGCAAUGGGCGCAAGCCUGACGGAGCGACGCCGCGUGAGGGAUGAACCAGCUUUCGGGUUGUAAACCUCUUUUAUUAAGGAAAAAGAUCUAUAUGCUAAUAUCAUGUAGAUUUGAUGGUACUUAUUGAAUAAGCCCCGGCUAACUACGUGCCAGCAGCCGC
rnacentral:rRNA from 1 species